rnacentral:lncRNA from 1 species
UGUUUCCUUAUUUCAUGUUCUACAGUCACGUUUUAUACAAACUCUUCAAUAACCUAAAUCCAAUUGAAGAUUCAUUCUCGCUUCCAUCUCUCAAAAAUCCAAUUGAAGCUGUCGUUCUCCCUCCGACAUUUAAUUUUGCUUCUUUCUCGUGGAUUUGGCUGUCUCAAUGACCAAUUUCCUAUUCCUCUGUAUCAAAAGGUAUGUAUUUCAUCUAAAAACAUUGAUAAAUUUAAAAGCCGAGAUGGUUUGGAUUUGAUCUUUGCGUUAAAAUUUUUUUUUGCUACUGAAUGAAGUUAAAAAGAGAUGGGUUUGGGUUUUGCUUGUUCAUAAAUGCAAUAGAACAGGGUAGAUUUCUUUGGGCAAUUUCUCCAUAGUGCAAUUUUAAUCAAUUUAUGCACUUGUUGUGCAUUUGAAGCUUGUACAGGAUAAAGAUGGAGAUAAUGAAAAAGUCUAUAGGAAAGCCAAAGGCAACAUCAACCUCUCCCAUCUAAGAAACUUCAAUUCCCUUUACGUACAUGAGGCUUAUGUUUGGAAGGAAAUUAGGUUUAUUUAUUUGCAAAAAAUAUUUACAUUAGCAGAGAGUAUUUUCUAUAAAGCAAGUGUUUGAUGAUUUGUCUAAAGGAUCUUCUAGGUGCAAAAUGUUUGAAUUUUCCCAAUGUCUAUAUAGUAGUACAUCAUGUCAUCGAAUUUCAAAUUCCAAGUCCAGACUGGGGUGAUUAAUUUAUUCCAGUGCUGGCAUCAACUGUGAAGAAUUAACCCAAUAACAAACUAGCACAAUAGGUUUCAGUUUCUAAGUAGAAAUUUAGAAGUAUUAAGCUAUUGAGAAGUAACACAUAAUACGGUUGUGCUUCUAAAUGAACUAUUAGGAAUAUAAAAAUAUCAAAUUAAAAAAGGAGAAAUUAUUAAAGAGACAGGUAAAAAAAAAAAAAAAAUUUGUGUACCGACUAGUGUGCUCAAAUGAUGAUUGUCAGAUUAGAUGAGCAUGAUAAAAUCUGAUUCGUUUCAUAUAUUAGCAUCAUCUGAAUACAAUUUCUUUUUUUGAAUGACGAGUAUGUUCGGCUGAGCUUAAAGUUUACUUAUAAGUAAAUAAGGAUUUUUCUAUGUUUAUUAAAGUUGUAAAUACGUAAGUUACUUAAUUUGAUGAUAAGGUAAGAGUUACUUUAACUUACUUAGUGUUUGAAAACAAAAGGUUACUUAAAAGUGAUUUUAAAUUAUUUUGAAGCUUAGCCAAACGUGCUCCAUAUUGAGACCAGCAGAACCAGACAAAACUAACCUUGAAGGGAGAAGUCCUUGAGGCUAAUAUGACAUAGGUUAUAGGCAUUUCUGGUAAUGUUUGCUUUCCAUAAUUUUACUCCAAGCAGUGCAGCACAAUUUAGAGCUUGCAAGUUGGUGACAAAGCUUUGCCUUUGUAGCUAAGACACAUAGCGCUCCACACCAUUGCAGCAUGCCAUCUAGUUACAUAUUCCAUCACCACAGCCACUUAUGACAGGGCUCACGUUGGGAAAAUUCAGAGGGCAAACUGAUGCAAGAAUUACAUAAUCUCUAAAUAAUUUCAUAAAAAGCAACCGCAAGGUAUUUUCAUGGGAAUGAGGCUUGGGAAUGUAUUCUAUUUUUAUAAUUCCUAUUAUAUUGUUUUGAUAUAUGCCUUUUACCAUAUGUCGCUAAAACUUAUUUUGUUACUUCCUUCUGUCUAGCAAAGAUGAAUCUUUUUUACCAUUUCAUUUGUUUUGUUAUUUUUCUUCAUAGGUUAAGAAAUGACAAUCGAUAAGAGUUGGACAUUGCAGACUAAUAGGUUGUCACAUGAAUAUAGAAAUGGUAAGUCAUAAUGAUGUUAAAUAUUAUAUUUUAUGAAUUCUAUACAUCAAUUCUAAUUUUUAAACGGAUGGAUCCGCUUACAAAAGAGCUAUCGGGUCACAUCAAAUUUUACUAUGAGAUGAAUUGUAGCGAUGAAUGUGGGUGGACAACUAAAGAAGUGGAGUCCCAUUAUGUAAGUAAUUUUACUUGUUAUAAUUGUAAAAUAAAUAUUUCAAAAAUCUAAUAUUUUAUUUAUAAUUUACAUGGAUCCUCAGAAUCAAUUGAUCGACCUUUUACAAGAACAAAAUUCUCAACUAGAUCCGAAUGAACAACCUAUGCCUUUAGAAGAAUCUGAAAGUCAUGACUAAGUUUUGGGCAAGAGAUUUAUCCACGUUAAUCAACAGAAAAGUUCAAAGAAGACAAUGUUGGAAAAUUGUGAUACUUGUGCAGAGAAUGCUACUUUAUAGAAUGAGGUUCAAGAUCUUCGUUCUCAGUUGAAAUCUGUGCAGAUAUUCUUAAGUCGAAUGCCUGAAGAGUUUCUUUGACAUAUUCAAUCUGAUGUGACUUCAUCCAGUGGCUUAAGUGGUGAUAAUUAAUAUAUUUUUUACUUUAUUUUUGGUGACGUAGUAAUGGUUAUAUAUUUUUAUUUGAUCGAGGCAAUAGUCUCUAACUCUACAUCUAUUUUUUUAUUUAUUAUUAUUAUUAUUUUUUAUGUUGAGAACAUAAUGAUUGAAUUGGAUGUAUUUUUUUGUCUAAGUCAUGAUAUUUUAUAUAAUUAACAUCUAGUUGUAGAUGAUGUUGGAAUAUUUUAAUUGAUUGAAGGUCCAAGAAAAUUUUAGUUCUUGUUAAUGUUCUUUAUACUUGGAUUCAUUUACUUCUUAUAAUUGUUUAUAGUUGUGAACAAGGUUUAUUCGUAGUAUGACGUGAAUGUGUAAAAGUUAUAGAAUCAUGAAUAUUACCACUGACGAUCAUAGUUCUCGUUAUUUUAAAAUUUUGAUUGUUAAUAUAAACGCUUUACAACGGCUUCUUUCGUUGUUGAAAAUUAAGGCAACUAAAUUUUAGUUGUUUCAACAAUAUUUUACACACACAUAUAAUUAAUGCAACGACAAAUCAAGCAGUUGUUGAAAUAAAUUUAAUUAGUUGUCUAUACUAAUUUUUAACAAGUAUUUCUUUUGUUGUUGAAAUGAAAGACAACUAAAAUUUGGUUGCUUUUAUUGUAUUUUAACGACAAAAAUAGUUAUUAAACAACCAAACAAUUCGUUGUUGAAAAAUAUAAUCAAUUGUCAAUACAAACCUUUUACGACCAAUUAUUUAGUUGCUAAAGUAAUACAGUUAACGAUCAAAUGUAUUUUUAGUCAUUGAAUAUAAUCGCGAACACCUCUUUGCUGACCAACGAACGACCAACUGAUUUUAGUCGUUGAAUGUGAUCAACAACCAAAAAUGUACAUUCUACGACCAUUUAUAUGGUUGUUAAAGGUGAUAUUUCCUGUGGUGCUUAAAUGUCUUUUAUUUUUAUUAAAAUGUGAAACUUCUGUAGAACGAAAAUGAAUAGAAGCAAGAAAUGAUGGAGAAGCUCUCUAGAAAAUUGCGAAAAUCUUGUCGAGCAUCUCAAUUCAAUGACAACAACAAUUUCUCUCUACUUGCGACAAUGGCCAUCUGAGUGACACCCAAGGUUUCCAAUUAUUCAAUACUCAAAAGCUCAUGUAUUGUAAUUGUGUGUGAAUAUCAAUAAUUGAGUGUUAACUGAAUUUCUUUAGUUUUGAAUUAUCUAUGUAUCGUUAAUUGUGUAUAUUUGAUUAUUUGUAGAGUAAGAGUAGCUUUUUCGAUCUUUCGAGAAGAAUCUAGUUCAGUCGGUCUUUUCUUUGGAAGUUAUGAGUAUAAAUGAUUAUUCUAAUAUAUUUUUUAAAUUGUUUUUUAGUUCACUGAGUUGAUACUGGUUUAAUUCUUGUAGAGCAUUUUUGCUAAACUACUUUUUUAUUACACAGCUGUACUCAUUUUCUCAAUUUUUCAACAGGCUUAUUAUCCCUGGGAAUUGUUGGUCUUUGAAUUUUUAUUGUAACACCAUGCAUAUAGAAUAGAUGUUGAUUAGGGUCUAUAAAACUUGUCUAUCUUGACGCAUACUUAUAAAUAAUUUUUAUAUGAAAUUCCAUUAGAAGUCCAUUUUAGUAGGGUGAAUAAGGCACGUGAGGUGAGCAAUAUCAAGUAAAAUGCUUGGUUGACAAGAUAAAAAUUUAUGAAAAAACACAUGCUAAAUUUUAUUCUCAAUGAACUUGUAGCUGGCUAUAUGUAUCCUUCUUCUUUCAUACUGUCCAAUACAUUUAGAGUUUUAGAUUUAGAGCCUGUUUGGGAGUGAUUUUGAGCAUUGAUUUUUUUACCGUUAGGGGAAAAGUGGGGUCCACCUGUGAAAGAAGAAGUGAAAUAUGAUAGCUGAAAUAGUAAAAUAACGAUUAAAAAAUCAAUUUUUUGGGGGAAAAAAUCACUCCCAAACAGGCUCUUAGCAAUAUAGCAGCAUAUUUACUGUUAUGUCUAAUGAAAUAAAAUCUUUUGCAAAUUAUGAUAAAUUGGGACUACUUCUCCCCUAUGGUAUUGAUGUUGCAAGAUUUUAUGCAAAAUUGGUGGUCCCUGCAUCAUCCAAGACCAUAAUUAGAACCAAACUUACUCAUAAUUGGGUUAAUUAUGCAUCCUAAGCUCUUAUCCAACAUUAUCGCUCUCAUCCAAAUGUGGUCGUGUGUAUGAGUGUUGAUCAGUUGGUAUAAGCAAAUUAAUAGUACGGAACUUUAAACAGACCAUAAGAUAUAAGCAUUUGUGGGCACUGCCAUAAAGUACCAUCACUACUUUUCUUAUACACAAAUGAAGGAUGCACUACGAUGUUUGAAAAUAUAUGCCUCGACAUCCAUAAUUUGGUGAAUAAUCGAUUAAGAAAAAUUAAUGGGAAUAUCAAAAUCACAUAUUUAGUCAGAUAUUAAAUUCUCUGUGUACGACGUCCAUUGCCAGGAAUGAAUACUAGAGGCGUCAACAAGGACAAGGGAGUAAGCUUUUCUUAGUUCACCUUCAUUCUGAAGUCGUGAGAGAUUAUAAGUAAUGCUAGAUUCUCUCACAAAUUGGUCAUUAAUCCAAAACACAUAAAUCCUUCAUUUUUAAAAUAUUGCAUGAAUGUUGAAUAUGUUAUAACUUACAAUAGAAGAACUAAAACUAAGUUGAAAGGGAAUUAUUUGUUCUAAAAACAUGAAAAUCAAUUCAAUUCUAAUUCAUAUUAGUAGACAUCAUCUUGUUUCCGAAAGAAAUGAAACCAAAACCUAAGUGGCAAGUAUAAAUUCACUUUUAUGUCUUUAUAAUUUCACAUGAUAAGAUUUGAAGAACAUGGAUUUGAAAAAAUAGUGGUAUAAAUUUAUAAUGUUGACCUUAUCUGAUAUGAGCCUCAGCCUUAAAAAUCCUUACCUAUUAUGGCUCAUUUUUAGCUUCAAUUUCAAUUUCAGUUUAUUCUUUGGUCUAAAAUUCAUCGUGGCCUGAGAUUAUAUUAAGCUCGGUUUGAAUUGGUUUUAUUCACAAUCAUAAUGGACAUUGGAAGGGUUGUUACACCUGUGUCAUUCUUUGUGCUCAUUUUUCUUGUUUCUAUCCGAUUAACAGCAUUAUCGUGCAUACUUCAUGUACGAGGUUGAUUCGUGGAGCAUCAUGUCUGCAGGUUAGGUUCUUCCUCUUAAUUUUGUAUUUCCAUUUUCUUGAUAGGUGAGUUUGUAGUCCAUGUAUUGCAUACUGGGAAUGAUGUUAUGAGUUCACUACUCAAAUGGAUUUUGUUUGUUACUAUUUUCAUCGGCAGCAUUGCCCUGAAAAUCAUUUUUUUGUUUUAAUUUAUUUCAACUGUCGCGGUAAUUUUUAUCGCUAUAUGCUUAGUCACUAAAGUUUAAUUAAGUUUACUUAUAAUCUUUGUUGCAUAAAUUGUUUAUUUAUAUGCUUUCUCAUAUUAUUCAUGCAAUUUCUAAAUAAAUCUAUGGAAAAUAUGCAAAGAAAGAUAUUGAAUAACCAAUUCACUCUGUCAACGAAAGUACAAAUUCUUAUUCUUGUCUUUAAAAGAUUAAGGUUUCUUUGCAUUCUAUGCUUCCCUCUAUUAACUUCAAAAUUCAAGCAAAGCAAUGUCAAGGUCUUGUGCAACGAUCACAUUUUUUUCUUGGUGGUUUAGGAGGAGAGAAGAUCUCUUGAACUAUGUUUAGGUGUUUGCCUACCUACGGAUUAUGAUUAUCUUCCAUCAAUUAGCAAGAACACAUUCCAUUAAAUAUCUUAUUAUUCAUUUCCACUCUGAUUGAGUUUACAUCCAUGCUACAGAUAGGCAAAGUUUAAGUGGGAUAUCUCACGGCUUCCUUUUGGGCCAUUGAGGUAAACUAUAGUGGGAUAUAAAUUGAUGGUGACAUAUACAGUGGUCAUUGAAGUUCUCAAGCAUACGGUAAUUUGAAUUAAGCUUUAAAAAACAUGCACAACUGGAUUUACAUGCCAUCAAUUUAUAUAUAGAAGUGCUUGUAUUUUCAGAUUAUGUUGUCUACUGUGCCUGAGAUGAUGAGAUUAUAAUUGUCAUGUGGAUGCAUAAUGUAUGUUUAUUAGAAUGUGAUUUUGUUAAAAAAAAUNNNNNNNNNNNNNNNNNNNNNNNNNNNNNNNNNNNNNNNNNNNNNNNNNNNNNNNNNNNNNNUUUGGUCAUGUUAAAUCUGAUUACUUUUAUGAAAAAAGAAAAGGAAAAAUUUGAUCUAUUAUUCAUAUGACAAUUGAUUUACUAUUGCUUUUUGUAGGGAUACAUUUCUGAAGAUUGAGACUGGUGAAAGUCCAAAUGACAGGAAUGAUAAAAUUCUGUUCUCUACGUUAUCUGUUUCUUGGGGCCUUUUGCACACUAUGAGAUUUUGAAUUGUGAUUUUGUUGGAUUUUUUUGGGCAAAAUUUACAACUAUUGUCAAAGAGAGCUUAAUUCAGAAAUUUGAUUUCAUCAAUCGAUACUCUAAGCCUCGUUUUAACAGCUAAACAUGCAUUGAAAAUAUUGACAUGCAUGUAUGACAUAUAUUGCUUGAAGUCUUCUUACAAUAUGGUUUUAAUUUGUAUGCAUGUAAUUCCUCCUUGAAAAAAGAGGAUGAAUCGAAAUAUAGUUGCUACAACAAAACUAGGGAGGGGUUUACAUCAAUUUUUAACUUAUUGGUUUAGGGUUCAAAAAACAUAGUGGUUUAGAUAAAUUCAUCUAAAUCAAAUUAAUC